rnacentral:lncRNA from 1 species
GAGAGGACUCUGAGACAUUCCUUGUUUUUCAGUCAUUUCAAGGCUGGUGUGUUUGAGGUUGGGGUGGCAGUGGAAUGGGGUGUCAGAAAAAAUAGAAAAGUGCUUGGCGGUUGCUGUUCACAGCUGGGUGUGAUCUCUUAGGCAGAAAUCCCAAGUUUUCUGGCCUCUGUGGUGGUCGUUCACCUGUAAAAAAUUGCAUUAAGAGUUCUUCCAAGCCCUGCCACUCCUAAAGGCUUAGUUAUAAAAACUUGUUUCCAACUUGUUUGUCACUAAGUGGGAAGCUCGGGAAGUUUAAGAACCAGGUGCUAACACUGUGUAGUUCAUACCAAAUGAGCUAGACUUGGGUAGGUAGCGGGACUCUUUUGGAAACUUACCUAGCAUCAAGGAGAAUUUAGUAUUGGUUGAAGACGUUCAAAGGUUUUAGAAGAGCCUUUCUCUUUCGGCAUAACAACUUUCCCAUGUGUGAGUGUCCUAAUGCAUCGCCCACAUAAAAUGCCACGGGAAGAAUCCCAAACUCUAAACCGCACGAUUUGGUUUCUCCCUUGUCUGAGGGGGGAAAACCACUUAUCGGUCUGCUGCUAUAUGAACUAUCUUGUUUGGCCUCCGUUUACAUAUUUGUUUGAUUGAGCUAUUAGUUCACCUGGUUAACUUAGAGGUUGACCCAAGUCUAACCUUACUACCACGGUAAUCUUAAAGUAUCAAGUGGAAUGUGGUCCCAGGUUCUGAAAAUUAGGGUCACUCGGGCAUCUCUUGCUUAAAGUCUGGUACCCUGCUGUUCAGUUCUUAGAGCAGAAGUACGGCUACUAUCACUGCAAGGACUGCAAAAUCCGGUGGGAGAGCGCCUAUGUGUGGUGUGUGCAGGGCACCAGUAAGGUAAGAGACACCGUGCAGCCCUCCUGCUCUGCUGUGUUGCCGAGUGUCUGCUCCAUGCCGAUGCUCUUUCUCCUCGUAGGUGUACUUCAAAGAGUUCUGCCGAGUGUGUGAGAAAUCCUACAACCCUUACAGAGUGGAGGACGUCACCUGUCAAGUAAACCAAACGUUUGCAUUUUGGAAGAGGGGUUUGGUGCACGACUUUGAGUAUAUUUCCUGAAGGAGGUGGUUUCCAGUAGCUUUAGGCUCUACCUUUUCCCUCCUCCUUCCUUUUCAUUUUUGACUAGGUUGGUGGUAGAAAGUCCCCUCCACUGUGAAAUGGGGUGUUUACUCCCUUCUGCUGUCGUAAAACUUGAUUGCAUGGCCUCUCUUGCAUCUGUUACCUCGUUAGCAGUAGAAAGGGCUUGCUUAACUGCCUCUUCCACUUGGCCUAAGAGAAAACAUAUUGCAAAACAGAGUGCCUUUCUGCUAGCUUGAGGUGGUACACUAUUACCCCAAUGCUACAUAGGAAACACAUUCCCAAGUUAGCGUAUGAAACGCAAGAAAUUGGGCUCUGGCUUUUCUUGAGAGUUUACAAAGGGAGUUUCCUGUAAGACCAUCCUACACUGUCUAGCUCUAUGCAGUUUACCCAUAACUGUGGCUAAGAGUUUGCUUGCUUAGUAUUAAUUUAGCUCUGUGCCAAGGGACUUAGAUAACCUUGACAACAUUUACCUGUUAAAAUUAAUGACAGAGAUAAAGGAAUUCCACAUCUGAGAGUCCAGUGCACUUAAAGUUGGUAAUUGGAGAAUUAAUUACCUUAGGGUGGGCCCUGAGAAACCAAGAAUGGAAAGCCAUUAAAACUCCAUCUAGAAAAGGGGACUAUAGGCACCUUUCUACAAUAAGGGGCCUUAAACUUCCCUAAGCUUCCCUGCACCUGGCUCUCAGUGCCCAGCACGCAGGCCACUUGUUCUGUAAUCUGUUUUGAAGCUCCGAGAAUCGAGGGGAGACAGGGUUCACCCUUUGUACUUUUUGCUCUGAGUUUUCAGAGUUGUAAAGGAACUAGAUGUGCCUGCCCAGUCAGACCUCGCCACGUGUACCUUAGACGCCCCCAUCAGCAACACUUGUGUGAGAGAUGCAAGGACAAAUGCUUGUCCUGCGACAGCACCGUCAGCUUCAAAUACAUGAUUUAGCGAGAGUUGAAAACGUUUCUGCUAGAUGGGGCUAAUGGAGUGGACAAGUGAGCUUUCUCCCCUCUUCACCUUUCCAAAUUCUUCAUGAAAGACAGUGUACUUGGAUAUAAAGCCUGCGAAUAAAAGGUAUUGCAAGCAAAUUUGAGGCUUUAUCCACUUCAUGUGUCAGUUUGAGGGGUGCAUGUGCGGGGAGUCAGUAACUUUGUUAACAUUUGUUGAUGAGAGUGAGUCAGGCUGACUUAAGGAAGUUACAGGCACUUCAUUCAACAAUUAAGGUUUUUCUUUUUGUUUAAUUUAAUUUUAUUUAUAAAUAAAAUAUAUGACUACACUGUAGCUGUGUUCAGACAUACCAAAAGAAGGCAUCAGAUCCCAAUACAGAUAGUUGUGAGCCACCAUGUCGUUGCUGGGACUUGAACUCCGGACCUCUGGAAGAGCAGUUGGUACUCUU